AACGAACGCUGGCGGCAGGCUUAACACAUGCAAGUCGAACGCCCCGCAAGGGGAGUGGCAGACGGGUGAGUAACGCGUGGGAACAUACCCCUUCCUGCGGAAUAGCUCCGGGAAACUGGAAUUAAUACCGCAUACGCCCUACGGGGGAAAGAUUUAUCGGGGAAGGAUUGGCCCGCGUUGGAUUAGCUAGUUGGUGGGGUAAAGGCCUACCAAGGCGACGAUCCAUAGCUGGUCGGAGAGGAUGAUCAGCCACAUUGGGACUGAGACACGGCCCAAACUCCUACGGGAGGCAGCAGUGGGGAAUAUUGGACAAUGGGCGCAAGCCUGAUCCAGCCAUGCCGCGUGAGUGAUGAAGGCCUUAGGGUUGUAAAGCUCUUUCACCGAUGAAGAUAAUGACGGUAGUCGGAGAAGAAGCCCCGGCUAACUUCGUGCCAGCAGCCGCUGUAAAAC
rnacentral:rRNA from 1 species